CCAUCAGACAUCACUGCCAGUUGCAGCAUGGACACCGACCGGGGGGAGCAUUUCCAAACUGCAUGACAACGGACAUAUUCCCAGAUCGGAUCCUGUUCUAUCACUCAACGCAACAACGUCAACGUUACCAUUUUUGGAGAAACCCUGGCAGAGUCAUUUUCCAAGCAGUGGUUUGCAGAAACAAAACAUCACCUUUGGCCUGUCAGCAAAAGCAUUAUCUGAACAAGACUAUAUAAGAGAAAGAGAUUGUCAAGACAACACACAUGCCAGGCAAAAGCUAGGCCAAGGCCUUCGCAUUGACAUGCAUCAGGAGUCAGAGUUUGGGAUUUACGUGAACCCUAAAUACAUCAAUAUACAUCCUACUAAGGGCUUGUGCCAUGGGGAUUGUAAAAGGAAGAGUGCUUUCACCCAGACGUGACUAAUAAAUAAUGUAACAAGGAUGUUUACAGACUUUCCCUUUGCCACUACCAUCCUCCCUACUUUUAAUUAAUCGCUGGAAAAAGCAAUGGGUUUGAUGGCUUCUGUCAUUUUAAAAUCUGCUUUCAUUUGUGCAAUGUCUCCAAGCUCCUGGGCCCAGCACUUCAGACUUCAAUGCUUUAUGGGCUUGGCAUGGAAGCACUUUGAACAGCAGAGGCAGAAGAGCUGACAAGUGUUUUUCCCCACUGUGGAGUCAUACAUUUACCAGCACAGAAAGCAUGUUUGAACCUGAUCACGUGACUGUUCUGCUGGAACCUCCCGUGGCAAAUCCUUAUGAAAGCCAUAUAGGGCUGUGGCCAAUCUUUGUAACUGGAGUUGUGAGUCAGCUGGUGCUUGGUUAGUCAUACUAGAAAUAGCUCCUCGAGAUGAAUGUACACAAGAACUGGCUGAGGUUCAGAACAUUUGAGAAGAGAAGACCCAGCCCAGAAGAGGAUGUUUGAAAGGGGUAGAACAUUUUUCUGGCUAAUUAAGAGGGAAUACACGAGUGGCGUUCAGCCUGUGUUGGAAAUGAUCAAGGAAGGCAGCUUCCAGUUCUCUGCACUAUGAUAAUUUUCUGUGGAUGAUGCAGUGUUAGCAGCGCAGUCUCCCAUUCAGUCAAGGGGAACGUUGCAGUUGGCUACAACGGGAGCGAACGCAGGACAACAGUCACAUAAACUCUGCACUUGGAUGCUCAGAGCAUUGUUGUUGUGCAGAAAAGGAGAGGAGUAGUUGGCUGGGUGGGGGGGGCAGGACAGGAAGGAUAAGCUGCUGAGAGUGGAGAGUCAGGAAACAGCAUUGCUUGCGUGAACUGCAGUGAGUUGCUGAAUAUUUUCUGGUCUCUUUCUGCACACGCUCCCCCUCGCAAACACCGGCCUCCAUAGUCUCCUUCUUACACAGAUGUCUCCAGGGUUUCUAUCAGGCUACUGCUUAUCCUUGGGAUGCUCUCCCUAAAACUAUUCGCCAAACCACGUCUCCCACCACAUUCCUAUCCCUGCCAGAAACUCCCUUCUGCCAUGAAGUCUGAGGAAGAAGGGGGAGGAAGCUCUCUUUCUCACACACCCACUACUUACACAACUACCGAGAUGUGUAUAUGCCUUACUGAGGAGUCCUGUGAUGCCUUGUCCUUAGCUGUCUGUUCAGAUCCCUCGCUUGUUAUGCCACGCUGGAUUCAGUUUGUAUGCUCCUUCGGGCAGGGACCACACUUUUCCCAUUUGGGGUGGUGCCCUGCUCAAAAAAGAAAUCAAUAUUUUAAGCUUUUUUGAGGAGGGCAGCUCAGGAGAAAAAAUACUUCUUAGCGAUGGGCUGAAUCCAGACUAGGAGAAUUCCCUCAAUACCUAUUAGCCCAAGGAAUAACCUACAAGCCAGUGUGAAAAAUACCUGCACAGCCAGAGUAAGGAGUAGCUCCAGCCGCUCUGCUCCUCAGCCUCCCAUCCCGGGGCCAUUUUGCUCUUGCUCCUGCUCCCACCUGGGGGGAAGCUGCAGUUUCUGAGCUGUUCUGCUUCAGCUCCUGCUUCCUAUCCUCUGAAAGGAGCAGCUGCCCUGCCCCCUGGGCCACUCUUUAACUAAGUUUUCCUCCACUGCCUCCAUUCAGGGAAGAUGCCAGCUACCCUCAGGGCUCUGCUCCCAGGCCCCAGUCAGCCCACUCCAUGGUUCUAGCCCCUGGGCAAGUGAUUUUUUUCAAGUAUUUUUGAGUACCUGGAUUUGCCAGCAGCUUGGAAUGAGCCUGAUCCUUUUGAGAUGCACUAGUACAGGUAUUAUUCUUGUUAUUUAUGUUUUGUAUUACAAUUGUCCCUCAACAGACGAAUCGGGGCCCAGCUGUUCUAAGCGCUAUACAGACAAAUUACUCAAAAACCAAUCCCUGCCUCAGAGAGCUUACGUGUCUAUUUCCCUUUAAAUCCACCUUUUCCUUACAUAAGAUACAAUGCAGCUUCCUAAUAGGGACUUUGUCAUGAAGGGGUAAAAAAAUUAUGUAACUGUGUUGAAAAUAAACAU